GUAAAUAUAACUCAAUCGGUAGAGUAACUGUAUGUGGCACAGUAGGUUCUAGGUUCAAGUCCUAGUAUUUACC